CCUACGGGCGGCAGCAGUGAGGAAUAUUGGUCAAUGGGCGCGAGCCUGAACCAGCCAAGUCGCGUGAGGGAAGACGGCCCUAUGGAUUGUAAACCUCUUUUGUCGGGGAGCAAAAGUCGCCGCGCGUGGCCUUCCGCACGUACCCUACGAACAAGCAUCGGCUAACUCCGUGCCAGCAGCCGCGGUAAUACGGAGGAUGCGAGCGUUAUCCGGUUUUAUUGGGUUUAAAGGGUGCGCCGGGGGAUGGUCAAGACAGUGGUCAAAUUGUGGGGCUCAACCUCUUCGAGCCGUUGAAACUGGUAUUCUUGUGUGAGCGAGAAGUAGGCGGAAUGCGUGGUGUAGCGGUGAAAUGCAUAGAUAUCACGAAGAACCCCGAUUGCGAAGGCAGCAUACCGGAGCGCAACUGACGCUCAUGCACGAAAGUGUGGGUAUCGAACAGGAUUAGAUACCCCUGUAGUC
rnacentral:rRNA from 1 species